UACGUAGGAGGCGAGCGUUGUCCGGAUUUACUGGGCGUAAAGAGCUCGUAGGCGGUCUGUCGCGUCUGCUGUGAAAACUCGGGGCUUAACCCCGGGCCUGCAGUGGGUACGGGCAGACUAGAGUGCGGUAGGGGAGACUGGAAUUCCUGGUGUAGCGGUGAAAUGCGCAGAUAUCAGGAGGAACACCGGUGGUGUAAACGGCUUUCUGGACCAUAACUGACGCUGAUGCACGAAAGCGUGGGUAGCAAACAGG
rnacentral:rRNA from 1 species